AGGACACCGCCCUUUCACGGCGGUAACAGGGGUUCGAGUCCCCUAGGGGACG
rnacentral:tRNA from 1 species